rnacentral:rRNA from 1 species
UACGAGGGAUCCUAGCGUUGUCCGGAAUCAUUGGGCGUAAAGGGUGCGUAGGUGGCCUUGCAAGUCAGUUGUGAAAUCCCCGGGCUCAACCCGGGAAGUGCUUCUGAUACUGCUUGGCUUGAGUAUUGGAGAGGUGAGUGGAAUUCCAGGUGUAGUGGUGAAAUACGUAGAUAUCUGGAGGAACACCGGCGGCGAAGGCGGCUCACUGGCCAUAUACUGACACUGAAGCACGAAAGCGUGGGGAGCAAACAGG